rnacentral:rRNA from 1 species
UACGUAGGGUGCGAGCGUUGUCCGGAAUUAUUGGGCGUAAAGAGCUCGUAGGCGGUGUGUCACGUCGGCCGUGAAAACCUGGGGCUUAACUCUGGGCGUGCGGUCGAUACGGGCAUCACUAGAGUUCGGCAGGGGAGACUAGAAUUCCUGGUGUAGCGGUGAAAUGCGCAGAUAUCAGGAGGAACACCGGUGGCGAAGGCGGGUCUCUGGGCCGUAACUGACGCUGAGGAGCGAAAGCAUGGGGAGCGAACAGG